rnacentral:rRNA from 1 species
GAAUUAGCUAAUACCGAAUAAUAACAAUCAAUAUCGCAUGAGAAGAUGUAGAAAGUCGCGUUUGCGACGCUUUUGGAUGGGGGUGCGACGUAUCAGAUAGUUGGUGAGGUAAUGGCUCACCAAGUCAAUGACGCGUAGCUGUACUGAGAGGUAGAACAGCCACAAUGGGACUGAGACACGGCCCAUACUCCUACGGGAGGCAGCAGGG